rnacentral:tRNA from 1 species
GACGGCUCGGCUAGGUUGAGCCCUCCCCCUUGUGGGGAGGGUUGGGAGGGGUCUGGCCCCCUGAAGGUUCAAAGCCGCUGGCCGCUC